rnacentral:rRNA from 1 species
GAGACCCACGCCAACAGUUGCCAGCUCGUCCUCCGGGAUGGUGGGGACACUGUUGGGACCGCCUCUGCUAAAGAGGAGGAAGGAAUGGGCAACGGUAGGUCAGCAUGCCCCGAAUUAUCCGGGCUACACGCGGGCUACAAUGGGUGGGACAAUGGGUAUCGACACCGAGAGGUGAAGGCAAUCUCCUAAACCCAUCCUUAGUUCGGAUUGUGGGCUGCAACUCGCCCACAUGAAGCUGGAAUCUGUAGUAAUCGUGUCUCAACAUGGCACGGUGAAUAU